rnacentral:rRNA from 1 species
GUAAGGAAUUUUCCACAAUGAGCGAAAGCUUGAUGGAGCGACACAGCGUGCAGGAUGAAGUUCUUCGGAAUGUAAACUGCUGUUAUAAGGGAAGAAAAAAUAGAAUAGGAAAUGAUUUUAUCUUGACGGUACCUUAUUAGAAAGCGACGGCAAACUAUGUGCCAGCAGCCGCGGUAAUACAUAGGUCGCAAGCGUUAUCCGGAAUUAUUGGGCGUAAAGCGUCCGUAGGUUUUUUGCUAAGUCUGGAGUUAAAUGCUGAAGCUCAACUUCAGUCCGCUUUGGAUACUGGCAAAAUAGAAUUAUAAAGAGGUUAGCGGAAUUCCUAGUGAAGCGGUGGAAUGCGUAGAUAUUAGGAAGAACACCAAUAGGCGAAGGCAGCUAACUGGUUAUAUAUUGACACUAAGGGACGAAAGCGUGGGGAGCAAACAGGAUUAGAAACCCUAGUAGUCC